CAGCAGCCGCCACGGUAAUACGGAGGGGGCUAGCGUUGUUCGGAAUUACUGGGCGUAAAGCGCACGUAGGCGGCUUGGUAAGUUAGAGGUGAAAGCCCGGAGCUCAACUCCGGAAUUGCCUUUAAGACUGCCGAGCUAGCAGGUGAGAGAGGUAAGUGGAAUUCCGAGUGUAGAGGUGAAAUUCGUAGAUAUUCGGAAGAACACCAGUGGCGAAGGCGGCUUACUGGCUCAUACUGGACGCUGAGGUGCGAAAGCGUGGGGAGCAAACAGGAUUAGAUACCCCCGUAGUCCCUGUCUCUUAUAC
rnacentral:rRNA from 1 species